CUGAAACCUCAUCUUGCCAGUCGAGUAAUUUUUUUCUCCUCUUCAAGGGUCUUCUCUCUCAUUAUAACUUGAAGAACCCCAAGAAUGCUUCAGACACUGGCAUCCAGCCAGCAGAAGAGGGAAAUGCCUGGAGGAUCCUCAUGUGAGAUCCUCGUGGGACUUCCACCAUAUCCUAUUGGCAGGAGUCACUCCCACGGCCAUACCUCAUUGCCAGGUAGGCUGGGAAAUGUGAUAUGACUCUGUGCCCAGGAAGAAGAGAAUGUGAAUUUUGGUUUGGAAAGAGACCUUUGCAGUCCAGUGAUCUAUGAACUACAAUUUAAGUCAUCGCUCCUCCCUCCUUUCCCAAGCACUGGGCACAAAAGUAAAACACAGUGCCAGACCUUGAGGGAUCCAAAAACACAUCUCAAUGUUCAAUCAUCAUGGAAGAAUGAAAAUUGUUCUACUAAACCAUGUGCCAGGCUGAGCGGGAGCUCCAGGGAGGAAAAACAAGUGCCUGAGAAGGUCAGAGAAGAUUCUCAUUGGAGUUAAGCUUGAAAACUGAAUUGGGGUUUUCCAGGAGGCCACAAGGCCAAAGGAUUUUCCACUCUCAAUAAACACUCUGUAGAAAGUAGUAACAGCUAAUUACAGACAACUUUA
rnacentral:lncRNA from 1 species